ACAAAAUCGAUAAGUCGCCUUAAAAUCUAAAAGCUAAACUAAAUUACAAUUGUUUCUAUUCUAAACUAAAAAUAAUUAUUAUAAAGUUGGGAAGUUCUUAUUACUACAGUGGUUUAUAUUAGAUUCCCAACAUAAAUUGUUUCGAGCCUAACCCUAAUUCCCAUCUAACGUAAAAAGCGCACAAUCACGAAAUCGACAG